rnacentral:SRP_RNA from 1 species
GGUCGAGCCCGCGGCACUGCGAGGCUCCGAACCGCGUCAGGUCCGGGAGGAAGCAGCGCUAAGGAUCCCUCGCAGGUGCCGCGGUCUCACGGCGCGU